rnacentral:rRNA from 1 species
GACGAACGCUGGCGGCGUGCUUAACACAUGCAAGUCGAACGGAAAGGCCCUGCUUUUGUUGGGUACUCGAGUGGCGAACGGGUGAGUAACACGUGAGUAACCUGCCCUUGACUUUGGGAUAACUUCGGGAAACUGGGGCUAAUACCGGAUAGGAGCUCCUGCUGCAUGGUGGGGGUUGGAAAGGUUCGGCGGUUGGGGAUGGACUCGCGGCUUAUCAGCUUGUUGGUGGGGUAGUGGCUUACCAAGGCGUGGACCGGUAGCCGGACUGAGAGGGUGACCGGCCAGAUUGGGACUGAGAUGAGGCACAGACUACUACGGGACGCAGCAGUGGGGAAUAGUGCACAAUGGGCGGAAGGCUGAUGCAGCAACGCCGCGUGCGGGAUGAGGGCCUUCGGGUUGUAAACCGCUUUCGCCUGUGACGAAGCGUGAGUGACGGUAAUGGGUAAAGAAGCACCGGCUAACUACGUG